rnacentral:lncRNA from 10 species
GCGUUGUCCGGAUUUUCCACGUCCUCACUGACUGUUCACCUAGUUGAUCUACCAAUUACUGUGAAAGAGACGUGAAAAUCUCCAACUAUAAAUGGGCCCAGAUGAUGAACCUAAGACGGUUAGAAGAAACAGGUGUUUUUCUUCCCCUACACGGUUUUCCAUGUGAUAGCAGCUAAACUCAUGUAUGAGUUGAAGAGCUGCAAAAGUUGUCAGGAUCAAAAUGGAGUCACUUGUGUAAAAAAAACCCUGACAAACACAGUUGAGGAAGGCCAUGAAGAGAAGGUUCAUGCAUAAAUGACUAAUAACAAAAACUAUCACAAAAGAUUCUACGAAAAACACGACCUUGCACAAAGGCCAUCACAACCUUAUACAAAAAAAAUACUUCUGUGAGGACAUCUGUCCAGCAACUGCCUAUUCAAUCUUGGACUGGAGUCAUCCUGUAUCCUUACAGCCAAGAACAAUAGUCUCAAAACAAUUCUGUAGAGCUGAGCACGGUGGCUGCCUAUAGUCCCAGCUACUUGGGAGGCUGAGGUGGGAGGAUCACUGGAGCCUAGCGGGUCGAGGCUCCGGUGAGCUGUGAUUAGGUCACUGCACUCCAUCCUGUGCCACAGGGUGAGACUUUGUCUUUAAAAAUAAAAUAAAAUGAUGUAACCUUCCUCAUUUUUUUCCUUUAAAAAUCUUUGUCUUCCUUUACCUCCUUAAAUAUGCACAUAGUUUACUAUGAUAAGCACACUUACUCCUAUUGCAAUGUCUAUUCCCUAAGAAAUAUAAUUUUCUUUUAAAGAGCCUCUUUAUGACAGAGCUUUUUUGGGGACGGGGAGAUGGUGG